UACGUAGGGUGCAAGCGUUGUCCGGAAUUAUUGGGCGUAAAGCGUCUGUAGGUGGUUCAAUAAGUCAACUGUUAAAUCUUGAGGCUCAACUUCAAAAAUCGCAGUCGAAACUAUUGGACUCGAGUAUAGUAGGGGUAAAGGGAAUUUCCAGUGGAGCGGUGAAAUGCGUAGAGAUUGGAAAGAACACCAAUGGCGAAAGCACUUUACUGGGCUAUUACUGACACUGAGAGACGAAAGCUAGGGUAGCAAAUGGG
rnacentral:rRNA from 1 species